UCCAACCUGCUAAUGGUCAUCCCCAAGCACAAUCCACCCGAGCAAAUCUCCGUCCGAUCGCAGUGAAUCCUGUCGACCACGAGUUGAAAAGAUUCGACUGUGUUUGGAUAUCAAGCUUGGAUUCCAAAGGCAAAUAACAUAAGCAGCUUGGCCUGACAAGAUUGCUCUGACCUUUCUGCUUCGUACUGUGAUGAGAUUCACGUAUUCUAGCUUUUGCUGUAAAGCAGUCAUGGGUUUCCUGCUUAGGUUUGUUCAGUAUCUUAUUGCCUGUGUGUGACAUCUUUACAUACAGAUGGUUGUUCUCCCUGCAUCACUCUUUGUCUGGAUUUGAUUUGCCUCGGUGUUCAUCACGCCGCCACCUUUUGAGUCUCUGCUGAGCCAAAGCGUGUUUUUUCUUGCGAAAUCUAUCAAGUCUUGUACAUCAUCACCUUUCCCUUUGAACUGCACUAUUGUUUGAUUUCAUUUUAAGAGACUGUUCACUGUCUUGUCCCGUGGAAUAAGAGAUGAGUGCAUCCUCGAGCAACUCUGCGUCACAUGAGCCAGUUGCGAGUUCUUCUGAUAAGCGGGAGUUGGAAGCCCGUGGGAAGAACAAGAAUCAAGAUGAGACCAAAUUUCCUGUCCCAUUCUACCGUCUGUUCUCGUUUGCAGACUCCACGGAUGUGAUUCUGAUGGUCGUGGGAUCACUUGGUGCGCUGGGGAACGGGCUUGCUCUACCACUCAUGACCGUUCUGUUCGGGGAUUUGAUCCAGUCCUUUGGAGGAGCAUCGGACACACACGAUGUGCUUCGUAGAGUUUCCACGGUAGCCUUGGAAUUUGUCUACCUAGCAGUUGGAGCAGGCGUGGUAUCUUUGGAGGGUUCGUAGUUGCAUUUGUCCAAGGGUGGCUUCUCACCCUUGUCAUUGCUGUGCGCCAUCCCUCCCUUGGUGGUUGCUGGAGGAGUCAUGGCCAUUAUUGUGGCCAGGAUGGCAUCAUUGGGACAAGCAGCUUAUGGAGAAGCUGCAGCGACCGUCGAGCAGACAGUUGGGUCAAUUAGGACAGUUGCAUCUUUUACUGGGGAAAGGCGAGCAGUAAAGAAAUAUGACAAGUCUGACCUUAUUCAGGUUGCAUCUUCAAUUGCUUGAUUCACCUUUUCAUUCUGCUGCAUUUACAAACAUCAAGAACUCAUUACAAAUGUAAGGAACUUUAAUACUUUUCCAUAUUUAUAUAAUCAUGGCCUAUACUUAACAUUUUUAAACUUAAUUAUCUUGAUCCAAUUCUCCUGCUCAUUAGGCCAAAUAGCACCAUGCAUGAAAGCAUUGGCAGCAGGACAAGCUGCUGCAUCUAAGAUGUUUGAGACAAUCAACCGAGAGCCAGAAAUUGAUGCUUGUGAUGCCAAUGGAAAGGAACUUAGCGAUAUUCGUGGGGAAAUUGAAUUUGAGUACAAAGAAGCAUAUGAUGCCUCUGGAAAAUUUUGAUAUGAAUGCUAAGUACAAAGAUUGUGUAGGUCAUGCAUGAACACAACAUUAUCAUCUCACUAUUGAGCAUUGGUAUCAGGUUUUUGUUUUCAUUGCUGCGGUUGGCACACAACUACAUGCAAUAAAUAGCAUACUUGACCAUCAUCUUAGAAAAAUAGAGUUGUUUUUUUGCUUUUCUCAUCAAGUCUUUCACAGGUACAUGACACUGAUCUUAGAUAAAUAGCUCUCUUUGCAGUAUAAUAUGAGACAAUUAGGUAUCUCAGUGUAUUAUUAACCAAAACUUGCAAUAUCAACAAGAAAAGAAGAAGAAAGAAAUCAUGUCUUUCGGUUCAUCAUAUGCCAACAAAUUUCUUCAUCCACAAGCUCUUUCUUUGUCUCCAUAUGUUAUUUUGUUAUGAGAACUAAGUGUUCACAUGUUUACAAAUCAAAGUAUUGAUUCUUGAGAAGGAUGUAAACAUCAGCAGCAGAGAUGAUCUCUGUAUGAAAGAAAAGGACGGAUGAAUGACGAUGGCAGUAUUCUCUCUGAGGAUGGUCUUGUGAGUGAUACAAACAAAUUCACCAGUUAUGAUCAUGAACAUGAAGUACUUUUGUUCCAUCAGAUAGAGAGAAAAGAUGAUGAGACUUGAUCCCAUCUACACUUCCUUCUAUCCCUUGUUGUCUUAAUCAUUUUGCCGUGUCUCCUUUUAAUGCCGUUUGUAUCAAAAGGAUAACAGUAUUUCCAUAACUCAAUCACCUCCUUAUUUAUAUGAUUUUUACACACAUUUGUAUAAUCUUCCUUAUUGCCUUUCCUAACAUGUGCAGGAUUUUGUGGUGGGUAUUAUGUCCAUGUAUUGAAGCUGAUGAAGACGAUCACUGUAAUUUACUGAGAAAAGACGUUGACCACAAAAAGUACUUGUGUUCUCAGUAUCAACGAAUGCACUGAAGUUACUUUCAGAGCUGCAAGAUGGAACGCUAACAGGCAUCAAGAACAUGAUAACAUAUCUCAAGCUCAAUUCAAUCAUGACCUGUUCUUUUUAAUUUUUGCCUGUGUAUUAUCUAGCUUGAUCAUGAAUGAUCUUAUCAUUAA